rnacentral:rRNA from 1 species
GAUUCUGGCUCAGGAUGAACGCUAGCUACAGGCUUAACACAUGCAAGUCGAGGGGCAGCAUUGGAGUAGCAAUACUCAGAUGGCGACCGGCGCACGGGUGAGUAACACGUAUCCAACCUGCCGCUUACUCGGGGAUAGCCUUUCGAAAGAAAGAUUAAUACCCGAUGGUAUAAAGAGUCGCAUGUUCUCUUUAUUAAAGAAUUUCGGUAAGCGAUGGGGAUGCGUUCCAUUAGAUAGUUGGCGGGGGUAACGGCCCACCAAGUCUACGAUGGAUAGGGGGUUCUGAGAGGAAGGUCCCCCACAUUGGAACUGAGACACGGUCCAAACUCCUACGGGAGGCAGCAGUGAGGAAUAUUGGUCAAUGGACGAGAGUCUGAACCAGCCAAAAGUAGCGUGAAGGAUGACUGCCCUAGUGGGUUGUAAACUUCUUUUAUAAGGGAAUAAAGUGAGGGACGUGUCCCUUUUUGUAUGUACCUUAUGAAUAAGGAUCGGCUAACUCCGUGCCAGCCGCCGC